rnacentral:lncRNA from 1 species
CUCCUGUUAUAUAUCUGUCCUGUAUCUUCUAUUGUUAUCAGACACCUCUCCUUUAACUCCUGUUGUUAUAUACACUACCGUUCAAUAGUUUUGGGGUCACUUAGAAAUGUCCUUGUUUUUGAAAGAAAAGCAAAAAAAUGUGCCCAUUAAAAUAACAUCAAAUUGAUCAGAAAUACAGUGCAGAAAUUGUUAAUGUCGUAAAUGACUAUUGUAUCUGGAAACGGCAGAUUUAAAAAAAAAUGUAAUAUCUACAUAGGCGUACAGAGGCCCAUUAUCAGCAACCAUCACUCCUGUGUUCCAAUGGCACGUUGUGUUAGCUAAUCCAAGUUUAUCAUUUUAAAAGGUUAAUUGAUCAUUAGAAAACCCUUUUGCAAUUAUGUUACAGUAGCACGGCUGAAAUCUGUUGUUUUGAUUAAAGAAGCAAUAAAACUGUCCUUCUUUAGACUAGUUGAGUAUCUAGAGCAUCAGCAUUUGUGGGUUCAAUUACAGGCUCAAAAUGGCCAGAAACAAAGUCCUUUCUUCUGAAACUCAUCAGUCUACUCUUGUUCUGAGAAAUGAAGGCGAGAAAUUGCCAAGAAACUGAAGAUCUCGUACAACGCUGUGUACUACUCCCGUCACAGCACAGCGCAAACUGGCUCUAACCAGAAUAGAAAGAGGAGUGGGAGGCCCCGGUGCACAACUGAGCAAGAGGACCAGUACAUUAGAGUGUCUAGUUUGAGAAACAGACGCCUCACAAGUCCUCAACUGACAGCUUCAUUAAAUAGGACCCGCAAAACACCAGUCUCAACGUCAACAGUGAAGAGGCGACUCCGGGAUGCUGGCCUUAUGGAUUAUCUACAGUGAGCUCCAAAAGUAUUGGGACAGUGACACGUUUCGUUGUUUUGGCUCUGUACUCCAGCAGUUUGGAUUUGAAAUGAUACAAUGACUAUGAGGUUAAAGUGCAGACUGUAGAAAUUAAUGGUAAAUAAUGUAUUGUGUUAUUUUGGAGUAACUUUUAUUGUAAAGAAGAAUAGAAUAUGUUUCUAAACGCCUACGUUAAUGUGGACGAUACCAUGAUAACGAAUAAUCCUGAUAGAAUCGUGAUUCAUGAGGAGUAAGAAAGUUACAGACGUACAAAUAUCAUACCCCCAAGAUAUGCUAACCUCUCACCAUUACAACAACAGGGGAGGUUAGCAUUUUAUACCAUACCCCCAAGACAUGCUAACCUCUCACCAUUACAAUAACAGGGGAGGUUAGCAUUUUAUAUCAUACCCCCAAGACAUGCUAACCUCUCACCAUUAUAAUAACAG